UGGGGAAUAUUGGACAAUGGGCGAAAGCCUGAUCCAGCCAUGCCGCGUGUGUGAAGAAGGUCUUCGGAUUGUAAAGCACUUUAAGUUGGGAGGAAGGGCAUUAACCUAAUACGUUAGUGUUUUGACGUUACCGACAGAAUAAGCAACGGCUAACUCUGUGCCAGCAGCCGCGGUAAUACAGAGGGUGCAAGCGUUAAUCGGAAUUACUGGGCGUAAAGCGCGCGUAGGUGGUUUGUUAAGUUGGUUGUGAAAUCCCCGGGCUCAACCUGGGAACUGCAUUCAAAACUGACUGACUAGAGUAUGGUAGAGGGUGGUGGAAUUUCCUGUGUAGCGGUGAAAUGCGUAGAUAUAGGAAGGAACACCAGUGGCGAAGGCGACCACCUGGACUAAUACUGACACUGAGGUGCGAAAGCGUGGGGAGCAAACA
rnacentral:rRNA from 1 species